AAACUUUUUCAGGCAGAGGAUUGUUGGUUGUCUGUCGGAGGUGUUCGCACUGGGCAAACUGACAGUGGUAACAAAUUUUGCGGUUGUUCAUAGGUUACAAAUGCGUUGUAAACAAUAAAAAUCAUCAAUCUACAAUAAUAUUUUUAAAAUUACAAGGCGGAAAAUAAAUCGUUUUAUCUUUUGUAACUGAUCACGGAAACUUCGAAGAUAACUGAAAAGAGCUAACGUCGUUUGAGCAAAUCCGAAUAUGCAUUGAACAGACACCGAUAAGCUAGCUAGCAGACUUUUAAUUUUACAAGAUUUGAUUGGAACUUGUUACAAUCGUGAUAGCGUUACAUUACAAGAAAUGAGAGUCAGAGU